AUGCAAUCUAUAAGAUACUAUGCACAUGUGAGUUUCUUAAUCACUACACCAGCAAUCAAAGGCAAAAAGGAUUUCAUUGAAUACGUUGCGAGAACAUUGAACCGCGGAAGCUAUUCUUGGUCUCUUGGCUUAAGGGCUUUCUACUUGUCAAUUCCUCUUGUUCUAUGGAUUUAUGGUCCCAUACCUAUGUUUGUUUGUUCUUGCUUCACAUCAUUUCUUUUGUACUUCUUGGAUACAACUACUCAGAUCACAAGAGAUCUUCACAAUAAGUCCUUUAGAGAGAAGGAAAGUACUACUCAGGAAGUGGAUGCAGCAGCAUAG